rnacentral:rRNA from 1 species
AUUGAACGCUGGCGGCAGGCCUAACACAUGCAAGUCGGACGGUAGCACAGAGGAGCUUGCUCCUCGGGUGACGAGUGGCGGACGGGUGAGUAGUGUCUGGGGAUCUGCCCGAUAGAGGGGGAUAACCACUGGAAACGGUGGCUAAUACCGCAUAACGUCGCAAGACCAAAGAGGGGGACCUUCGGGCCUCUCACUAUCGGAUGAACCCAGAUGGGAUUAGCUAGUAGGCGGGGUAAUGGCCCACCUAGGCGACGAUCCCCAGCUGGUCUGAGAGGAUGACCAGCCACACGGGAAAUGAGACACGGUCCAGACUCCUACGGGAGGCAGCAGUGGGGAAUAUUGCACAAUGGGCGCAAGCCUGAUGCAGCCAUGCCGCGUGUAUGAAGAAGGCCUUCGGGUUGUAAAGUACUUUCAGCGGGGAGGAAGGCGAUGUGGUUAAUAACCUUGUCGAUUGACGUUACCCGCAGAAGAAGCACCGGCUAACUCCGUGCCAGCCGCAGUAAGAC